rnacentral:tRNA from 2 species
CGGGUAUAGUUCAGCGGCAGAACACCGGCUUCCCAAGCCGGAUAUGAGGGUUCGACCCCCUUUACCC